rnacentral:tRNA from 1 species
GCGAGAGUGGCGGAACGGCAGACGCGCUAGACUUAGGAUCUAGUGGGAGACCGUGCGGGUUCAAGUCCCGCCUCUCGCACCA